rnacentral:rRNA from 1 species
CCUACGGGAGGCAGCAGUGGGGAAUAUUGCACAAUGGGCGAAAGCCUGAUGCAGCGACGCCGCGUGAGGGAUGACGGCCUUCGGGUUGUAAACCUCUUUCAGCAGGGAAGAAGCGAAAGUGACGGUACCUGCAGAAGAAGCGCCGGCUAACUACGUGCCAGCAGCCGCGGUAAUACGUAGGGCGCAAGCGUUGUCCGGAAUUAUUGGGCGUAAAGAGCUCGUAGGCGGCUUGUCACGUCGGGUGUGAAAGCCCGGGGCUUAACCCCGGGUCUGCAUUCGAUACGGGCUAGCUAGAGUGUGGUAGGGGAGAUCGGAAUUCCUGGUGUAGCGGUGAAAUGCGCAGAUAUCAGGAGGAACACCGGUGGCGAAGGCGGAUCUCUGGGCCAUUACUGACGCUGAGGAGCGAAAGCGUGGGGAGCGAACAGGAUUAGAUACCCUGGUAGUCCACGCCGUAAACGGUGGGAACUAGGUGUUGGCGACAUUCCACGUCGUCGGUGCCGCAGCUAACGCAUUAAGUUCCCCGCCUGGGGAGUCGGCCGCAAGGCUAAAACUCAAAGGAAUUGACG